rnacentral:rRNA from 1 species
UACGGAGGGGGCUAGCGUUAUUCGGAAUUAUUGGGCGUAAAGGGCGCGUAGGCGGCCCGGUAAGUCAAAGGUGAAAUCCCUCGGCUCAACUGAGGAACUGCCUUUGAAACUGUCGGGCUUGAGGCCGGGAGGGGGUAGCGGAAUUCCCAGUGUAGCGGUGAAAUGCGUAGAUAUUGGGAGGAACACCGGUGGCGAAGGCGGCUACCUGGACCGGUUCUGACGCUGAGACGCGAAAGCCAGGGGAGCAAACGGG